GAUGAACGCUGGCGGUGUGCCUAAUACAUGCAAGUCGAGCGAACAGAUGAGGAGCUUGCUCCUCUGACGUUAGCGGCGGACGGGUGAGUAACACGUGGAUAACCUACCUAUAAGACUGGGAUAACUUCGGGAAACCGGAGCUAAUACCGGAUAAUAUAUUGAACCGCAUGGUUCAAUAGUGAAAGACGGUUUUGCUGUUACUUAUAGAUGGAUCCGCGCCGCAUUAGCUAGUUGGUAAGGUAACGGCUUACCAAGGCAACGAUGCGUAGCCGACCUGAGAGGGUGAUCGGCCACACUGGAACUGAGACACGGUCCAGACUCCUACGGGAGGCAGCAGUAGGGAAUCUUCCGCAAUGGGCGAAAGCCUGACGGAGCAACGCCGCGUGAGUGAUGAAGGUCUUCGGAUCGUAAAACUCUGUUAUUAGGGAAGAACAAAUGUGUAAGUAACUAUGCACGUCUUGACGGUACCUAAUCAGAAAGCCACGGCUAACUACGUG
rnacentral:rRNA from 1 species